rnacentral:rRNA from 1 species
GGGGGCCCGCAAGCGGUGGAGCAUGUGGUUUAAUUCGACGCAACGCGAAGAACCUUACCUGGGCUCGAAAUGUACAGGAAUCCGGUGGAAACAUCGGCGCCCAGCAAUGGGCCUGUAUAUAGGUGCUGCAUGGCUGUCGUCAGCUCGUGUCGUGAGAUGUUGGGUUAAGUCCCGCAACGAGCGCAACCCUUACCUCCAGUUGCCAUCAUUUAGUUGGGCACUCUGGCGGAACCGCCUCGGAUAACGGGGAGGAAGGUGGGGAUGACGUCAAGUCCUCAUGGCCUUUAUGUCCAGGGCUACACACGUGCUACAAUGGCCGGUACAAACCGUCGCAAACCCGCGAGGGGGAGCUAAUCGGAAAAAGCCGGCCUCAGUUCGGAUCGCAGUCUGCAACUCGACUGCGUGAAGCUGGAAUCGCUAGUAAUCGCGGAUCAGAAUGCCGCGGUGAAUACGUUCCCGGGCCUUGUACACACC